rnacentral:rRNA from 1 species
GACGUAGGGCGCGAGCGUUGUUCGGAAUUACUGGGCGUAAAGCGCACGUAGGCGGCUUUGUAAGUUAGAGGUGAAAGCCCAGGGCUCAACCCUGGAAUUGCCUUUAAGACUGCAUCGCUUGAACAUCGGAGAGGUAAGUGGAAUUCCGAGUGUAGAGGUGAAAUUCGUAGAUAUUCGGAAGAACACCAGUGGCGAAGGCGACUUACUGGACGAUUGUUGACGCUGAGGUGCGAAAGCGUGGGGAGCAAACAGG